rnacentral:rRNA from 7 species
GGUUAAGCGACUAAGCGUACACGGUGGAUGCCCUGGCAGUCAGAGGCGAUGAAGGACGUGCUAAUCUGCGAUAAGCGCCGGUAAGGUGAUAUGAACCGUUAUAACCGGCGAUUUCCGAAUGGGGAAACCCAGUGUGAUUCGUCACACUAUCAUUAACUGAAUCCAUAGGUUAAUGAGGCGAACCGGGGGAACUGAAACAUCUAAGUACCCCGAGGAAAAGAAAUCAACCGAGAUUCCCCCAGUAGCGGCGAGCGAACGGGGAGGAGCCCAGAGCCUGAAUCAGCAUGUGUGUUAGUGGAAGCGUCUGGAAAGGCGCGCGAUACAGGGUGACAGCCCCGUACACAAAAGCGCAUGUGCUGUGAGCUCGAUGAGUAGGGCGGGACACGUGGUAUCCUGUCUGAAUAUGGGGGGACCAUCCUCCAAGGCUAAAUACUCCUGACUGACCGAUAGUGAACCAGUACCGUGAGGGAAAGGCGAAAAGAACCCCGGCGAGGGGAGUGAAAAAGAACCUGAAACCGUGUACGUACAAGCAGUGGGAGCACAGGUUUACCUGUGUGACUGCGUACCUUUUGUAUAAUGGGUCAGCGACUUAUAUUCUGUAGCAAGGUUAACCGAAUAGGGGAGCCGGAGGGAAACCGAGUCUUAAUUGGGCGUUAAGUUGCAGGGUAUAGACCCGAAACCCGGUGAUCUAGCCAUGGGCAGGUUGAAGGUUGGGUAACACUAACUGGAGGACCGAACCGACUAAUGUUGAAAAAUUAGCGGAUGACCUGUGGCUGGGGGUGAAAGGCCAAUCAAACCGGGAGAUAGCUGGUUCUCCCCGAAAGCUAUUUAGGUAGCGCCUCGUGAAUUCAUCUCCGGGGGUAGAGCACUGUUUCGGCUAGGGGGCCAUCCCGGCUUACCAACCCGAUGCAAACUGCGAAUACCGGAGAAUGUUAUCACGGGAGACACACGGCGGGUGCUAACGUCCGUCGUGAAGAGGGAAACAACCCAGACCGCCAGCUAAGGUCCCAAAGUCAUGGUUAAGUGGGAAACGAUGUGGGAAGGCCCAGACAGCCAGGAUGUUGGCUUAGAAGCAGCCAUCAUUUAAAGAAAGCGUAAUAGCUCACUGGUCGAGUCGGCCUGCGCGGAAGAUGUAACGGGGCUAAACCAUGCACCGAAGCUGCGGCAGCGAACGUAUCACCCAAGACAACUUUACGGAGUUGACGAUUGACGGAGCGAAGCGACGUCAAAGCGUUCAUUAAAGUCGAGUUGGCUUAGGGAUACGUUCGUUGGGUAGGGGAGCGUUCUGUAAGCCUGUGAAGGUGUGUCGUGAGGCAUGCUGGAGGUAUCAGAAGUGCGAAUGCUGACAUAAGUAACGAUAAAGCGGGUGAAAAGCCCGCUCGCCGGAAGACCAAGGGUUCCUGUCCAACGUUAAUCGGGGCAGGGUGAGUCGACCCCUAAGGCGAGGCCGAAAGGCGUAGUCGAUGGGAAACGGGUUAAUAUUCCCGUACUUGGUGUUACUGCGAAGGGGGGACGGAGAAGGCUAUGUUGGCCGGGCGACGGUUGUCCCGGUUUAAGCGUGUAGGUGUGUGUUCCAGGUAAAUCCGGUUCACUUUAACACUGAGGCGUGACGACGAGGCACUACGGUGCUGAAGCAACAAAUGCCCUGCUUCCAGGAAAAGCCUCUAAGCAUCAGGUAACACGAAAUCGUACCCCAAACCGACACAGGUGGUCAGGUAGAGAAUACCAAGGCGCUUGAGAGAACUCGGGUGAAGGAACUAGGCAAAAUGGUGCCGUAACUUCGGGAGAAGGCACGCUGACACGUAGGUGAAGUGAUUUACUCAUGGAGCUGAAGUCAGUCGAAGAUACCAGCUGGCUGCAACUGUUUAUUAAAAACACAGCACUGUGCAAACACGAAAGUGGACGUAUACGGUGUGACGCCUGCCCGGUGCCGGAAGGUUAAUUGAUGGGGUCAGCGCAAGCGAAGCUCCUGAUCGAAGCCCCGGUAAACGGCGGCCGUAACUAUAACGGUCCUAAGGUAGCGAAAUUCCUUGUCGGGUAAGUUCCGACCUGCACGAAUGGCGUAAUGAUGGCCAGGCUGUCUCCACCCGAGACUCAGUGAAAUUGAACUCGCUGUGAAGAUGCAGUGUACCCGCGGCAAGACGGAAAGACCCCGUGAACCUUUACUAUAGCUUGACACUGAACAUUGAGCCUUGAUGUGUAGGAUAGGUGGGAGGCUUUGAAGUGUGGACGCCAGUCUGCAUGGAGCCGACCUUGAAAUACCACCCUUUAAUGUUUGAUGUUCUAACGUGGACCCGUAAUCCGGGUUGCGGACAGUGUCUGGUGGGUAGUUUGACUGGGGCGGUCUCCUCCUAAAGAGUAACGGAGGAGCACGAAGGUUGGCUAAUCCUGGUCGGACAUCAGGAGGUUAGUGCAAUGGCAUAAGCCAGCUUGACUGCGAGCGUGACGGCGCGAGCAGGUGCGAAAGCAGGUCAUAGUGAUCCGGUGGUUCUGAAUGGAAGGGCCAUCGCUCAACGGAUAAAAGGUACUCCGGGGAUAACAGGCUGAUACCGCCCAAGAGUUCAUAUCGACGGCGGUGUUUGGCACCUCGAUGUCGGCUCAUCACAUCCUGGGGCUGAAGUAGGUCCCAAGGGUAUGGCUGUUCGCCAUUUAAAGUGGUACGCGAGCUGGGUUUAGAACGUCGUGAGACAGUUCGGUCCCUAUCUGCCGUGGGCGCUGGAGAACUGAGGGGGGCUGCUCCUAGUACGAGAGGACCGGAGUGGACGCAUCACUGGUGUUCGGGUUGUCAUGCCAAUGGCACUGCCCGGUAGCUAAAUGCGGAAGAGAUAAGUGCUGAAAGCAUCUAAGCACGAAACUUGCCCCGAGAUGAGUUCUCCCUGAGACUUAGAGUCUCCUGAAGGAACGUUGAAGACGACGACGUUGAUAGGCCGGGUGUGUAAGCGCAGCGAUGCGUUGAGCUAACCGGUACUAAUGAACCGUGAGGCUUAACCUU